rnacentral:lncRNA from 1 species
CCCCAGCCCUGCACCACUCAGCCCAGUUAACCCUAGAGGGGAGGGGAACUCGCUCAGGCUCCAAGUGCUGCUGAGAUUGGAGCACAGGGAAUGGGAGGAGGCACAGGCCUGGAAGAGGGAGAGGAGAGGAAGGAGGUGAGCAGUGCUAGGCCCACGCCAGCCACAGUCCUUUACUGAGCACCUGCCAUGUGCCAGCACAGGGACAGAUCCCUGUCCUCAGGGAGCUCACAGCCUAGAGGGGGAGAUAAACUGUAAACCAGAAGACAUAUGAACAAAAUAGCCCCAAGCUGAGACAAUAGCAGAAGGAAGGUGCCCAGGGCAUGGAAAACACACAAAGACCCCACCCAGCCUGGGAGUCCAAGUACUCUCCAAAGAAACUGUGGUUUGAACUGAGAACUCAAGGGUAUAUAGGCGCUAAGUAGGUCAAGCUGGGAUGGUCCAGGCAGAUCAACAGCAUGUGCAAAGGCCCUGAGGCAGGACUGUGAUGCAUUCCAGUUCAAAGACUGGAACCCACAGAACCAGGCGAGAGGACAAGAGGAACCCCACCCGCAGGGCCUCUUGGCCAUGAAAAGGGACUCUGUCUUUACCAAACAGCAAAAAAGCCACUGGGGGUUAAAAAAAAAAAAAAGUCAUGGAUUAAUGCUGACUUUUCCUACAUUCCUCCAGGCCCCAGUGCUUCAAACACCAGGCCUGCGGAGCUCACUGUCAGGCAACUCAAAAUAAGAAAACACAGGCUGGGCGUUCGCACCUCUAAUCCCAGCACUUUGGGAGGCUGAGGCAGGAGGAUCCCUUGAGGUCAGGAGUUUGAAACCAGCCAGGCCAACAUGGUGAAACCCCCAUCCCUACUGAAAAUACAAAAA